rnacentral:rRNA from 1 species
ACGUAGGUGGCGAGCGUUGUCCGGAAUUACUGGGUGUAAAGGGCGUGCAGGCGGGAAUGUAAGUCAGAUGUGAAAACCCAUGGCUCAACUGUGGGACUGCAUCUGAAACUAUGUUUCUUGAGUGCUGGAGAGGAAAGCGGAAUUCCAAGUGUAGCGGUGAAAUGCGUAGAUAUUUGGAGGAACACCAGUGGCGAAGGCGGCUUUCUGGACAGUAACUGACGCUGAGGCGCGAAAGCGUGGGGAGCAAACAG